GAGGGAGAGCCGAGGGCGUGUGAGGGGGGACCUGAGGGCCGGGAACCGAGGCCGUGUGAGGGGCACCCGGCGGCUUCCCAGCCUGUCGGUGUCACAGCACGGGUUAGCCCAGUGAGGCCUCUGGUGCCACCUCCCCGCUGCAGCAGGGCCAUCCCCGAGCACAGGACACAAGAUUCUGUCAGCAGGGUCUGCAAUAUCCCCAGCGAGGGAGACUCCGCAGCCCGUGGGGACAAUCUGCUCCUGGCCAUGGCGUUGCUGAGCCGCCUCUCCUCUCUGUGCCCCGUCCAGGCGAGACCCCGGCGCACUUGGGCGGCACCGCCGCGUUCGGGGAUAACGUGGAGGAUGAGUGGUUCAUUGUGUCCCUGCUCCGGGAGAUCAGCAGGGAGUUCCCGGGGCUGGCAGCCAGGAUUGAGGACAACGAUGGAGAGUUUCUCUUGACAGAAGCAGCUGAUUUUCUCCCAAAGUGGCUGAAUCCUGAGAACAGUGAAAACAGGGACCCUCCUUCCCACCCUUGCUGUGAAUGGGUGUCACACUGGCCAGCUUCCAGCCAUCUGGAACCUCCCCAGUGAGCCAGGGCUGUUGGGAAAUGAUGGAGAGCGGCUUCCCAAGCUCCUCUGCCAGCUCCCUCACCCCCCUGGGGAAUGAAUCCCAUCUGGGCCCACGGAUUUAUGAACAUCCAAGCAGCUCAGCAGUUCCCUGGCUGCCUCCUCCUGGAUAGCAGGGGCCCAUUCUGCUCCCUGACACCAUCCACCAGCCCAGGAGGACACUUGUCCUGAGGACAAGCUGUGUUCCCACUGAAGGCCGAGGCAAAGAAGGCGCUGAGCACCUCUGCCUUCUCCUCAUCUGCACUUACUGAGUUCCCUCCCACAUCUAAUAAACAACAGAGGUUGGCCUUACCCUUCCCUUUACCAUUAGUACAUUUGUACAAAUGUUCUUUAUUCUCCUUUACAAAAGUUGCCAAUUUAACUUCAGACAUAAUUUUGGCCUCCCUGAUUAUUUCCUGCAUACCCUAGCAGCUCCUUAAAUACUUCCUGAGAAACCUGACCCUCCUUCCAAAGCUGAUACGUCCUCCUUUUAUUCCUAAGUUCCUUCAAACCCUCAUUGCCCAUCCAGGCUGGAUGUUUGCCUCGCUGACUCCUCUUUGGGCACACAGGGACAGUCUGCUCCUGUGCCCUCAAGGUCUCUGUUUUGAAGCAUGCCCACCUUUCCUGAACUCCUUUGUUUUAAGGGCUGCUUCCCAAGGAACCUUCUGACUAAGUCAUGUUAUAGAACAUACAGUAUGCCUAUAUAACAUAUUUUAUGACAUAAUAACAUAUGCCAAAGCAAAGCCAUUUCACCCAUUGGCACCAGCUGCCUCCUCUCCCUCGCUCCCAUUUUGCCCCCUCUGAACUCCCG